UCUCUGUCGCGUUACAAGGAAGUGAAUGUUUUUUUUUUUUUUGUAAGCUUAAAAUCAAAUUGGUUGGUUGGUGGGGAAAUGAGUUUCUUCCCGGUUUGGUUUUACUCUCCAAAAUGGUGGUUUCUUUGUUUGAGCUUGACACUUAGACUGUGUGUGAGUCCCUCAGGGCAAACUUGCUCGCGCCGACAUGUUCCACAAUGACAGGAAUGUGGAAGUAAGGAAGCUACGGCCAUUUUGUGUCAGCUGCCUCGUUUUCAACCGGUUUAAUUUUCCAUACUACCUGCGUCCAUCCAGGUAUGUGGCGUAUGAUCAAUGCGAAGAAUCAUCCUGCCAGUUAUUCAUGACAAACGUCAGCUUUCAUAAUAGAAAUGACCACAAAGAGACUUCUAACCUAUUAGAAUGUUUCGGUAAAUGUGUCACAGUACGCCACGUGUGCUUAAUCCGUUGUACCAUGUACCACAUAUUGACCAACAUUAAAAUAUUGUAGCAUAGUUGGCCUAAAUAUUAAUCAAAAACAAGUCAGUAGUGUAACUUUACACACAGUUAUAACGGUGUUUCAAUAUUUAAGUGAUUCUUGGGCGAACAACAGUUUGAGAAUCCCUGUGCUAACUGGAUCAAUGACAAAAGCUUCAUGUUUGCUUUGAAUUAUAUUUAAUACCUUCAAAUGUAAAUUGUAGAGAUUUUGAUGUGGUUCCUUACCAAAAACUGUUACAAUUAUGAAAUAUGAUCUUUUAAAUGAAUAAAUAAAUAAAUGGGUUGUACUUGUAUAGCGCUUUUCUACCUUCAAGGUACUCAAAGCACUUUGACACUACUUCCACAUUUACCCAUUCACACACUGAUGGAGGGAGCUGCCAUGCAAGGCGCUAACCAGCACCCAUCAGGGGCAAGGGUGAAGUGUCUUCCUCAGGACACAACGGACGUGACGAGGUUGGUACUAGGUGGGGAUUGAACCAGGGACCCUCGGGUUGCGCACGGCCACUCAUCCACUGCGCCAUGCCGUCCCUAAAUAGCAUUCAUUCUAUUUAGUGACAUCACUAAGUGGUGACACCUGCCUUACUGGUUUCACCGUCUGACCAAAUUUAUAGAAAGCUAAUUAUGGUUAAAACAAAUUUGUUACAGAUAUAAAACUGGUCUUAGAUGUAUUUAUGAAAAGAGACAACCCUUUCCCUCGGCUGUAAAGGUCAGUUGUGCCAAUUUAAUAUUAGUGGACAUCAAAAUUGCCAGACAGCUUUUGGUUGGCGAGUCUAAAUGUUUUAAAAUUAAGUUUUUAUUGCUGUUUUUAAAGGACUAUUUAAAAAAAAAAAAGUUGUCAUUUUGUGGACUGGUGUGCUACCUGACAUUUUGGGUGUUUGAGAUGCCAAAACAUUAGGGAUGUAAUGAUGCAUCCCGACAAAACCUUAAAUUAUAUACUUUUAAUGCAGUGUAACCUCAUUCAAACUAAACCUAUUUUAAAGGAUGAAGUUAACCAUGGAAUGAUUUAAUUGUAUCAUGUACAAAAUGCAUUAAGUCUAACUGGCAUAGUUUCAGCGUGCCCUUAAGCAAGGUGGUGUGUAACCUUUUCAGGCGGCUGCCUAGAGGGCGCCAACUUUUCAAAAUAUUUGGAAGCACUCUAUCUUGCCCUUUCCUGGCUUUGAGUAUGUAAAAGACACAACACCUAAUGCACAUGCACCAGCUUUGUCAGCUAAUAAUGGCAAUUUGGCAAAGUUUAGCUCACGUUAGCUAUCAUUGAAUUUAUAUUCUAUUUUACAUAUUAACAGCUAAUUGUAAGUUUCUUCUCUUAGGUUCUUGGGUACAUGUUUGUGCAUUUGCUACCUGCAUGUAUGAGACAGCGGGUGGUGUUUAGGGCAUGUCCAACCGGUAGGAGGCAACGGGGAAGACCCAGGACACGUUGGGAAGACUGUCUCCCAGCUGGCCUGGGAACGCCUCGGGAUCCCCCAGGAAGAGCUAGACGAAGUGGCUGGGGAGAGGGAAGUCUGGGCUUCCCUGCUUAGGCUGCUGCCCCCGCGACCUGACCUCGGAUAAGCGGAAGAUGAUGGAUGGAUAGUUGUAAAAAAAUUAAAAUGUAACCUUUUCAUUUGAAGCAAGUUGCAAACAGCCCCUAUAAGCACAUACCUAUACUGUUUAUAUGCAGACAUAUUAGGGCUGUAAAGCGUUUGAAAUAUUUAAUCGUGAUUAAUCAGUUUGUUCAUAGUUGACUCAAAAUUAAUCGUAGACUUAUUUUUUUCUCAAUAAGUGUACUCAAGACGGAUAAUUUAAGUUUUUAUUGCCAUGACUGGACAAUUGCUUUGCUUUGUUUUUUAAACAUGCUUUUUAAACAGAUCAACACAAAGUACACACUCUUAAUGAGAAUAAAAAAAUACCUGCAGUGUGUUGAUGUCCUGCCAGAUUUUGUAUGUUGUAGGAAUACAUAAUUUAUAUUCCUGUCGUAGAAGCAUUUGCAUUCAGAGGGGAAGCUCCACCAUGUUUAGGUACCAGUUUCUCGCGAUAACACAAAAUGUGGAUUGUUACGAUCUGAGUUGGUUGUCAAAAAUUUUUGGUAAUGCUAAAUGUGAUAUUUAUACCUGAAUAAAUGCAUCUGGUAUUCUGUACAUUACAUGUUGUACAAGUUAAUCAUUUAUUUGGCUGCAUGACAAUGUCUUAACCCUCUCUAUUUAUAAAUAAUGUGCGAUUCAGCCUAUUUUGUAAUUGAGGACUAUCAAUCAGAGAAUGUUAUAAAACGGUGUUUCUUAACCUCAGGCUCGGGGCCCAUUAUCGGGAUGCAAGGGCCGCCAAAAAAAAAUGUUCGUCAGCUGUGGUACAUACGGGCAGGAGCGGGACACAAUUGUGAUAACACUUUUCCACCAUGUGUGACAGUAAUGACACACUGUAGUCUGAUUUUAAAGUCCCAGAUGUUUCUUAAUCGCAAAAAAUAUGACUAAAGUGGUAAAGCUGUGUUUUUAUUUGCACUUUGAUUUUAUUGACGUUUAAGAAACAUGUGUAUUUUAGGUCAUUUUAGCACCACACAAUUGUACAUACCUUUUUUUGGCCAGUUAUUUGUAAGUCCCUUUUUAUGCAGUGUAUUUGAGUACCCUAUCAACCUGAUUUAAGCAUAAGGUUUGUGUUGAAUAAAUAUUUACAAAUGCUGUCAUAUUUGACAUGGUUGUAAAAUGUAAGUUGGAUAUAGUUAUUGAACAUUAUUUAAUAUCAGGAGUAAAAUUACCAAUUCAGCGUCAAUAUUUGAGUGGGCUUGACUCUGCAGUGGAAAAGUUGGGCCCCCGAGGUCAAAAAGGUUAAACUCUUGUAAAAGAAUAUACAGUACACUUGAUUGCUUUCUGCCAAAAAAGAUCUCUCCACUCACUUGAUACCACCAUUUAUGUAGGUAGAAAUAUCACAGAUUUACAGUGGCGUGAAGUACAAAACAGCAUUUCAUGAAACAAAUUACAAUUUCAGAAAACAGAUAAAAAAACAAAAUCACAGAUUUGACAGCAAAGUCAGCAAAUUGCAGAGCUCAAAUGAGGAAGUGAAGCUUCAGCGGAUGGUUUUUGAAAUUUUAAGUUGUUUCGAUUUUUGUUUCUUCUAAAAUUGUAAAUUUUGGCCUUUUUUUUUUUAGUUUUUCUGUAAUUGUAAUUUUUUCAUGAAAUGUUAGUUUUGCACAUCCAGGACACCGUACAGAUUACAUCGACUCAAAUGGGACAAUCCCAUCAUGAUCUUAAUAACACAUUUGUCAUUUUGUUACUGUAGUGGAUAUGACUCGUUGCGCUUUUUAUUGUGAAGCCAAAAGUAUGAUUUGAGAGAAAAAUUAAUUGUAAAGACUUCUUGGCCUCUGUCUGCCUCCUCCCUCGGUCUUUCCUUUUGGUUGAGUUUGUAUUUGGUCUUCCUAGAGCAAUUAGCAAUAACAAUCCACACUGUCAACAAUGCAGUAAACUGCAUCCAAACACAGAAAAGAAGCUACCCUCUGCAAGCGUCAAAGCACGCCAACCUGCCUUCACUCCAGUGUUGUCAUCAAAGAUAAAAUAGUUUUGUCUUUGGACAUCGGACAUAUUGGCUUUUCUUUGCCUUUUGCUGGCUAUUUGUUCCACUUUUGGCUCAACAUUAACUAGGCACCAUUACAUUUCCCUACGAGUGUAAAAGGAGCCAGGGUGCAUGCGCGUUGAAAAAAACAAACAGUACCGUUAGGUCUGGCUAUAAGAAUAAAAAAAUGUAUCAUUCUUUGAAGACCUAAUGAACUAAUUGGACGAAAGGAAUUUUGACACAUUAACUCUUCCAGCACACUCAUGUUGGUAUUGACACCAGCAAUUUAUGGAUCGACUGAUUCAGUACAUGUCCAUGCACCAAAUUAGUCCGAUUUCUCAAAUAGUUUGGCUCUUAAUAGGCCUCCUACAAUCCAUGGUAACACCUUUUAAUCCGAUCGUUUUCGGUUUUUGAAAAAUCGGACUAACACACCUGGAUUAUGUGAUUGGAAACCAGAUCUCUCAGCUGCUGGGGAGGACCUUUUUUGUAUUACGCAUGCACCACUCUCAAUGUGCGCGGAAUAACACCCUGAAGCAGAUACUAUUCAAUAAAAACAUAAUUGUAAUGAAGAGGAGACUGUUUAUUUGCUUCAAAUUUAAAACUUUACAUUUUAAAGUGCAUCGAUGGUGGAAUGUUAUAAAUGUAAUUAAGGAAAUGUAGAAUGUCUGUUCAUUUCAGACUCGCAAACUAAAUACGAAUGAGAUAAAAGAUAAUAAAGCGUACACAAACCUAUUCACGCUGCAUUUGUGCACUCCGAACCGAUACUUUCCACACAACUAGCAAGAUAGUCCAGAACGAUUGCAACAUUCCUCUGGAUAGCAGUUGGGACGUGAACUGUCUUUUCCUUCGGAUUUAAAACUCCUUCCAUGAAUCCAGAGUCUUUUGAAUGAACUUAGACAUUUAAAAGUUUAGUGUUCAUUAUUUUCGUCCGAAAAUUCCUUCCCCUUUCUUUGCAUCCGACCCGAUACAUUCUUGGUAGUAGCGUCAUGUUCGUAGCGCAACCAGAGAUCAUUUCUUAAUGCUGUGUACGUAACAACAGCAUAGCCACUAAAGAUGUAAUAUUUGUGAUCUGUGCCAAUAUUAUAGCAGACAUAGCUUAAAGCCAGCUGUAAGGAUCUGCAAAUCAUACUGACUUCACAGGUCAACCGGAAAAGUCAUUAUCCACGCUAAAAUGAAAUGAGCACCCCCCCAGUGUACAGGAGGCACAUGGUGUAUGACCAAUAGUCACAUAAGUGUGUGCAUGGACACUUGGACUUUAGAUGUAAAUGUGAAAAUACAAAAAAAAAAAUAUUUGAGAAAUCUGACUAAUUUAGCGCAUAGAAACGUAGUGACUGACACACCAA